UGGCGGACGGGUGAGUAAUGUCUGGGAAACUGCCCGAUGGAGGGGGAUAACUACUGGAAACGGUAGCUAAUACCGCAUAACGUCGCAAGACCAAAGAGGGGGACCUUAGGGCCUCUUGCCAUCGGAUGUGCCCAGAUGGGAUUAGCUAGUAGGUGAGGUAACGGCUCACCUAGGCGACGAUCCCUAGCUGGUCUGAGAGGAUGACCAGCCACACUGGAACUGAGACACGGUCCAG
rnacentral:rRNA from 1 species